rnacentral:rRNA from 1 species
AUUGAACGCUGGCGGCAGGCCUAACACAUGCAAGUCGAGCGGUAACACAGGGAGCUUGCUCCCGGGUGACGAGCGGCGGACGGGUGAGUAAUGUCUGGGAAACUGCCUGAUGGAGGGGGAUAACUACUGGAAACGGUAGCUAAUACCGCAUAAUGUCGCAAGACCAAAGAGGGGGACCUUCGGGCCUCUUGCCAUCAGAUGUGCCCAGAUGGGAUUAGCUAGUAGGUGGGGUAACGGCUCACCUAGGCGACGAUCCCUAGCUGGUCUGAGAGGAUGACCUGCCACACUGGAACUGAGACACGGUCCAGACUCCUACGGGAGGCAGCAGUGGGGAAUAUUGCACAAUGGGCGCAAGCCUGAUGCAGCCAUGCCGCGUGUAUGAAGAAGGCCUUCGGGUUGUAAAGUACUUUCAGCGGGGAGGAAGGUGUUGAGGUUAAUAACCUCAGCAAUUGACGUUACCCGCAGAAGAAGCACCGGCUAACUCCGUGCCAGCCGCCGCCGUAA